CAGAUUCUACAGCAUCCUGACCAGAGUUGCUAUGCCCCCAUCUCUCCUGGAGCAGCACUUUUCUUGACCUCUGAUCCCAGCAGCCUCCCUAGCUCAUCUGGGGCCUUUUGGGUCUGCAGCUUCUUGCCGAUCCGUGACUUCUCUGCAUCAUCUAGAAUCUUUUGUCUUCCAGGCUGCUACCUCUGCUCUUCUCUGUGGGCAUUUCAGAGCCCACAUGUGGUCUUUCUUCCCCAAAUGCCCAAGUGAUGGGCUUCUAGAGACCACAUUUGGGUCCUGAACAUUCACCACAGCAGCAGACACCCUGGGAAGCCAAGAGAAGGCAACUAGAUCUCCGGGUCCCAAGGAGUGUGCAAACGCAUUUGCGUAGGGAUGUGGGAUCCCCGUGAGAGCUCCUGGCUUGGCUGGAGAGGCAGGACGGCAGCCCUCAAAUCCAGAGCUGAGAAUUGCUUCAGGCCCCUGCCCUGUC